rnacentral:lncRNA from 1 species
AUAAGACUCAUGGCUAAGCAAGUCUUAAUGAGCCAGGUUCAGCUAAUUUGGUAGAUGGGCUGAGUAAGAUCUAAGUUUUAAAAAUGCAUUUAUUCACUUUUCUCUAGCUUUCCCCGUCAGAUACCAGCUCUACAAGGGCCUGCACAGACCAGAAGAGGGCUGUAGAUUCCUUGGAACUGGAAUUACAGGCAGGUGUGAGCUACCCCUCAUGGGUGUUGGAAACUGAAUUCCGGUCCUACAGAACAGGUGUUCCCAACCUCUGAGCCACCUCUCCACCCCACAAUUACUGUCUUUAAGAUGUUACUGCUAUAAGUCCUUGUGGUUCUGAAUCUAGCACUGUCAUAGCUAAACAUCCCGAAGCGACAUUUCACCCUUUCCUUCCCCUAUCUGGUUCUCUCUAGUCUACAUACUAUGAGGUGCAGGGUUGCACCUUGACAUCUCACUUCUCUGCUUUUGUUUCUGUAAAUUCUCAGGAAACUACAACCAUGGAUUCUUCAGAUGCCUUCACUUGAUAUACAAAAUGUCUGUCUUCGUUAGCUUUAAUUGUCAACUUGGCCCAGCCUAGAGGAUCUGAGAGGAGAGCUUCAAUUAAGGAAAUGUCUACAUCAGAUGGGCAUGAUUGUAGGGGGUUAUCUUGACUGGUAUUUGAUAUGAAAGGGCACAUCCCACUGUGGGUGGCACCACUGACUAGUUAAGUGGUUUUGAAUCACCAAUCAUACGCUGGCAAGUGAGCCAGAAAACAGCAUCCUCCAUGACUCCUGCUCAACUUUCUCUCUGUGAAGUGAGUUCCUUGGUGCUUGGUCAGUGACAAUGCUGAACGAAUCAGCAAGAAGGCCUACCUUCAGUUUCCUGACUUGCCUUCCUGCAUUAACAGACCGUGACCUGGAAUUAUAAGCAGAAAUAAACUCUUCCCUUU